rnacentral:lncRNA from 1 species
UACAAGUAGAUGUCAAGGAAAUCAAGACCACCAUCUUGUCUUUGACUUGAUACAUGGUGAAAAUCUAGCAUACCCUCCCCAACCUAGAUUUUUACAACCCUGUACACCUUAAACUGGAGACUAGUGAACUCGAAUAGCCAACUUCCUAUCGGCAGUGCAAACGCCCUCACUCCUAAACUUUCUCAAAUCUUUACGUGCUCAUGUUUUGCUCCU